GAUGCGGUGGCCGAGUGGUUAACGCGAUGGACUGCUAAUCCAUUGGAAUUUCCCAGAGUGAGUUUGUAUCUCACCUGCGUCG
rnacentral:tRNA from 1 species